CAGCACUGCAGCGGGACUCCGUGCACUUUCGUUUCAAGCGAUGCGAUCGCAUUUAUGCAAAUUAGCAGAGUAUAGACGUAGUAGAAGAGGUGUUCCCAAAUUCCCAACAGACUACUAAAUUCCACACGGACGUAAGCAGUGAUUGGUCGUUAUCAUCUGAUUUUGACAUAGAUAGACAUAUGGAUUUGGAUGAAUUUUUGUGGUUAUAAUGGAAAUAUGAAGACGUGGAAAGAUAUGCAGAAAGUUGAGACAAGUUAUGUAAGGUCUAGAACAGUUCACACAAAGAAACAAGAUGAUUUAUACUAUGAGUAUAGUUUUUAAUCAAUUUCAUGCUAUGAGUGUAACAGAAAUAACAUAAUAAUAUGCAAGGAGUAUAGAUGCUAGGAGAGUAUAUUAUAUUCAUUGAUGUGGAUAUAAGCCCAACUAUAAAAUAAUUAGGACAGAGAAACCUGUUCCAUUCAUUGUCCCUCCAGACUGAUUUGCAAACUGUGAGAUCAAGGACAGCUUUCUAUCAGUUAUGUAUUGGAAAACACAUGCUGAACCAUGCAUCUGUAAAAACUACAAGAAAAAAUGGUUGUAGAGAAAUUAAUGAGGUGCCACCCAAUAAAAUUUCAUGAGAUUCAAGAAUGUGAAGAUACAUGAGCAAUUUCAGAUGAUGCUGCAAGGUGUUUGGGAGAAAAUAAAAA
rnacentral:lncRNA from 1 species